rnacentral:rRNA from 1 species
AGGACGAACGCUUGCGGCGUGCCUAAGAAAUGCAAGUCGAGCGGGGGGAGCAAUCCCUAGCGGCGAACGGUCGCGUAACACGUAAGCAACCUGCCCGAAAGACCGGGACAACAGCUCGAAAGGGCUGCUAAUACCGGAUGUGUCCACUUUGCCUCAUGGCUUAGUGAGUAAAUCAUUUAUGGCUUUCGGAGGGGCUUGCGGCCUAUCAGCUAGAUGGCGGUGUAACGGACCACCAUGGCGACGACGGGUAGC